UAACGAGAUACGAUUUGAGCAGGGUAUAAUCCAGCGAAGGACGAGUAGGUAAAGGCGGGAGCGGCUCCAUUAUUCGAAGCGAAAAGACGUUAAGGAAGAAGAGAAUGAGCAGAAGCUGUGGACGAGAGAUGGAGAAGAAGUUGAAGAGAACGAGGAAGAAGUAAAGAGAAACGAAAAAGACAAAGGUUGAGUAUAAAAGGGAAUUAGAAGCUUGGCGAAGAAGAAAGGUUGGCCGUCGUGUCGAACCGUCGCAUCGAAGCGAGUUUCGAGGACGGUUAUAAUGAUGAAUGGACGGUGAUAAUUAAGAUGACCUAAUUAAUGCCGCAUGUAAGACAAAAAUAGAUGGCGAGAUCGGGGCCGUAGAAAAGAAAUGAAUGGCUGAAACCAAACCGUACAAAGGGUUUGGAAAUUAAUUAAAUCGAGGAUCGCGCCUCAGAUUAUGUCAG
rnacentral:lncRNA from 1 species